rnacentral:rRNA from 1 species
GACGAACGCUGGCGGCGUGCUUAACACAUGCAAGUCGUACGGUAAGGCCCUUGCGGGGGUACACGAGUGGCGAACGGGGGAGUAACACGUGAGUAACCUGCCCACAACUUUGGGAUAACGCUAGGAAACUGGUGCGAAUACUGGAUAUGUGCUCCUGCUGCAUGGUGGGGGUGGGAAAGCUCCGACGGUUGUGGGUGGACUCGCGGCCUAUCAGCUUGUUGGUGGGGUAGUGGUCUACCAAGGCGGCGACGGGUAGCCGGACUGGGAGGGUGAGCGGCCACAUUGGGACUGAGAUACGGCCCAGACUCCUACGGGAGGCAGCGGUGGGGAAUAUUGAACAAUGGGCGCAAGCCUGAUGCAGAAGCGCCGCGGGCGGGAUGACGGCCUUCGGGUUGUAAACCGCUUUCAGCAGGGACGAAGCUUUUUGUGACGGUACCUGCAGAAGAAGCACCGGCUAACUACGUG